GUGAAAGAGUGAACUGUGGACUGGGAGAAAGCAUUGCCAUUAUCAGAUCCAGCUACGUUUCUGCAGUUACAGCACUCCUGCAAAUUCCACCCGCACCUGGACUCACAGCAGCGUGGACUUACCUGGUUUGCAUUGCUCUGUGAUACUGCUAGCUAACCUGUACUUGUGAAUUGAAAGUGAAAGUGCAGUUUCUUACAAGAUGAGCUGCAUUUAAAGAUGGGAGGAGCCAGUGAAAUGAUUUCUUCUCUGUGAUCCCAUUGACUUCUGCUUUCCUCUGGAAGAGGAGCUCAAUGAACUUGGAUCUGGCAAGGCUGCUCAGGCACUUGGAGAAGGGAAGAGGCAUGAGGACUUAGACACAAACAGCUUCUGAGGGAGAAGACUGAGGGGGGAGCCUGCCCUGGCGCUGUGGAGGAUCUGGGAGAGCUCCAGCCCUGCUGGAGCUCGUCGCCCCGGGCAGCCCCAUGGACUCUCCCCACCUCCUGCACAUGGGGUUCCUGCUCCUGGCUCUUGCUGCUCCCCAUCCAAAUAUUGCCAUGUCCACUGCUGGCCCUAAUGGGAGGACACGAGGCAGCACAAAUAUGAAAGUCUACCGCUGUGAGGACUGGGAAAGCAGCAAAUGCAAGGAUGAGGGAAUUGAUUUUACCGACUGUACAAAAAUCGCUGAAAUACAGGACAAGAAAAACACUAUUCCAGGUGUAAGAGUUGAGUUGAUGGCCAAUGAAUCACACAUCACUGUUUGCUUUGAGCAAGCAAAUUUCUGUCCUGAAGAAGUUUAUGGCAUCUGGGAUGAAACUGUGCCACCAAAACACUGGUGUGGCAUCCUGAAUUGUGGAGAAAACGGAGGAGGUGACAUCAGUACUGAGAACCAGACUGUUUGCUGUGAAGCAGAGGCAGUUGCCUGGCACUACAACCCUGACCUGAAGUGCUACAUUCAGAAGUCACAUCGAAAACACGCUGCACUGCCAGUUACCAUUCCUGAUGGGGCCAGUUCCUCUGUGUGGUGCUUACGAGGCAGCUCAUGGCUUAGCACUCCUGCCUGCUUCACUUGGAUGCUCUAUUUUCUUCUACUCUGCAGGUAAUCCUGAAUUUCCCACCAGCAAAAAGAGCAGCCUUGGCGUCUUGCUGGCAUUCCUGUUUGUUGGGGUUUGCACAGGAUGGGGCACCAUGUUUUACUUCUUGCGGCUGCGGCGUCGCCAAGUUUCUAGGCAAGACAGCGAGGCUUCUGACAGAGAAAUGCUCACAGAUAACCAUCUACAAGGGAGAAAACUUCUCUGCCAGAAGCAUCCUCCUUUCUCAUGAUGUACAGCAACCAGCUGAACACAGACUCAUUUUCCAUGGGAACUGCUGCCCUUGUAGUCCCAAAUCGUCCUGUUUUCACAAAGGUAGCUUCACCACAUCCACACCUUCUCCAAGCUCUGUGACUCUUGUCCAGCUCCAGGCCUUUGAGCAGCACAGACAGCACCAGGAGCCCCCAUCCUCCUCUCCUUGGCUUGGCUGCAGACAGCAGCACCCCAGGGUGUGUGGCUGACUCAGCAGCACUGAAACCAGCUGAAUUCUCUCUGGGACAAAGUAGGAACAGCUCUGAAAUCCUUCCAAUGCCCUCUGCAUGGCUGUCACUUGGUAAUGCCACAGCAGCACCCAGGUGUCUGUAUUGUUUGAAUUGUCAGGUCAUCUCUGCAUUCACCAAAGCCUUUUGCACCACAAGCUGGCUGGUAGGUUGAACUGGAAGAGUUUGGAAGAGAUAUUUGAUGUUGCCCCCACCUGCAGGCUGAGGAAUGACUGAGUGUUCCUGUGCAGGGCUGGGUGGGAGGCUGUGUCCAGCUCCCUCAGGAAUGGCAUGGGGUCACAGAGGUCCCCAGGCUGAGCAGAACUCUGGUUUCAAUCUUCCUGACAAAUUAGGCAAGUUUAGACAGCGUGAGAUAAGUACAGCUCCUCAGGAAUCACUUUGGGUAUUUGGUAUCCUUAAAUCAUUCCCCAUUCCCACCUGAUUUGAAUAAAUCCUCAGCUUUUGCAUUGGAUCUAAUUUACUAUCAAGACUGUUGAGCAAAAAUCAGUGGCAGCACAAGGGCAGAAGCAAAUGCCUAAAGCAAUGUGAAUGUUUGCUGAAUCACUGUCCUUUUGCCACACAGCUAAACACAAGCACACACACAGUUCUUGGCUCAUUUCUGCUUUGACUGGAUUUUUUUUGUUGCUUGUUUUUUCCUCAAUUUGUCUCAACCAUCCAGUCUACUGACUGGCAGAGUGAACCUUGCCAACAAACUCUGUUGUGCUGAUGCUUAAUAUCAAAUCUGGAUUUUUCUGAUCCCCUUGCUGGUGAUGUUUUAAGAGAUCUCCAACACUUUGAGCAGGUGAUUCCCAUUUGAUGCCUCUGUUCCUUGCCAUUCAUUGUACAAAUGUUUGUUUUCAGCUCCUUUGGUUACUGGAGCCAUUGGAGAGUUCUGAGGGUCUCAUUAUACAUUUGUAUAUCUUUGUUUCUCAAUGUAGGCUGGAAUUACACCUUCUGCACUCAUCUUUCAGAGAAUCUGCAUUAUCCAGUUCCCUGAUGUUAUUAAAUUCUUCUUAAAAAAAAAA